AACUGAUACUACCUGCGGGAACCUGCGGAGGGAUCAUUAGUGGACGCCCUCACGGGCUUAUAACUAUUCCAAACCUCUGUGAACCGUGCCCUUCGGGGCUAUUUUACAAACAUGGUGUAAUGAACGUCAUAUAUCAUAACAAAACAAAACUUUUAGCAACGGAUCUCU
rnacentral:misc_RNA from 1 species